GGAGUUGUGCCUGAAACAGGGCCACUUUGAUGUAGUGGAACAUGUGGGUUAAAGCCCCUCCCACUCCU
rnacentral:tRNA from 1 species